rnacentral:rRNA from 1 species
GAUGAACGCUAGCUACAGGCUUAACACAUGCAAGUCGAGGGGCAGCAUAAAGAUUGCUUGCAAUUUUUGAUGGCGACCGGCGCACGGGUGAGUAACGCGUAUCCAACCUACCUAUGACAUAGGGAUAAUCCGGCGAAAGUCGGCCUAAUACCUUAUAUAGUUUAUCGUUGGCAUCUUCUAUGAACAAAAGAUUUAUCGGUUAUAGAUGGGGAUGCGUCUGUGGGUUGUUGGCGGGGUAACGGCCCACCAAGGCAUCGAUCAGUAGGGGUUCUGAGAGGAAGGUCCCCCACAUUGGAACUGAGACACGGUCCAAACUCCUACGGGAGGCAGCAGUGAGGAAUAUUGGUCAAUGGGCGUAAGCCUGAACCAGCCAAGUAGCGUGCAGGACGACUGCCCUAUGGGUUGUAAACUGCUUUUAUGCGGGGAUAAAUGAUAUCACGUGUGAUGUUUUGCAGGUACCGCAU